UACGAAGGGGGCUAGCGUUGUUCGGAAUCACUGGGCGUAAAGGGCGCGUAGGCGGCUUUAUAAGUCGGGGGUGAAAGCCUGUGGCUCAACCACAGAAUUGCCUUCGAUACUGUAGAGCUUGAGACCGGAAGAGGUAAGUGGAACUGCGAGUGUAGAGGUGAAAAUUCGUAGAUAUUCGCAAGAACACCAGUGGCGAAGGCG
rnacentral:rRNA from 1 species